CCCCGCCUGCAGUGACACCGGGCCUUUGUCUUCUUUCCUGAAGCCCCCAUGACUGCUGACCGCGCCAGGAUAAAGGCCAGGACUCCAGGAGAGAGGUGAGGGCCACGCCCGCUCCCCACCCAGACGGACUGUUCCUGACUUGAUCCUCUGGAGUGGACUUGUGAGCAACUUCUGCUGCAUCUCUGGCGCUUGCNNNNNNNNNNNNNNNNNNNNNNNNNNNNNNNNNNNNNNNNNNNNNNNNNNNNGGCGGAGCCUCUGUGCCACUGUCUCAGGUCUGGGCAGACCUGAGGCUCCUCUAGCUCUUGGCCUCAAAUUUUCUGCGUCAUGCCCUCCUGUCGGCGGAGCUGGUCUGCGGUGGUGACGGGAGAGCGUUUGUGACCUUAUUCUGCUGCUCUCUCUGUGAUCUGAAAUGUGGGUAGCAGCGGAGCUCAAGCCGCGGCGAUACUGACUUUGCAAGGCGGCGGCCUCGGGCUUUCCAGGGUACUUGCUUGGGGCCGUUUCUCCGCAGACACUCGCAGGUGAUGGGAGUGCCUCGCAGCUUAGAACUAUUCCAAAGAAAGAAGGGGAAGACGAGCCUGGCAACUGCAUGAGCAGAUAGCAGGGUCUCCAGCAGCCACGCUGCGCGCCUCCCAUGAACACCAGGUUGUGCCCUGGGGCCCCCGGCCAGUGCUGCAGCUGCACGUUUUCCCAAGCUGAUGACGAAUCUUCGGUUCCCCUCCCUUCAUGAUGGCUUGUGGAGUAGGGGCCUGGGCCGCCUUUCCAGAGCCGAAUGGAAGAUCCGGGCCCCUCUUUAAUCUUCUACAGAGACGCAACCUGGAGAGGAAGAGGAAAGGCGACAGACCAGGGAAGUGAGGUCCCCAGGCUUCGCGUGCCGGAGUGCCCUCCACCUCUUCCUUCUCUCCACCCUUGCUCCCUCCAGCCGACUCGGGGAUCCUGGUCCCUAUUGAAACUGGAGCUGGCCACCGGCCGUCUGAUGAGAGAUAAAGGAGCUCCAGGGCGCCGAAGCACUGACCGGAUGCGGGCUUUCUCACACCCAGGAACAGCACCUGAGAUCCUACUUCCCCAGGUGGCACUGACUCAGUUUGAGAGAAACAGUCAGCUGAACGGCGUGCACAUUCUGCCUUCAGACGCAAACAGUAGCGUCGGCAUGCGGAGUGUUCACAGACACAUCUACACGAGAGAAUCCCAUAUCUGUGCGCAUGUACAUGCACACGUGUGUGCAUCUGAGCCUAGAGAGACAGACACAUCUACAUACGUGUGAUAUACCUGUGCAUAUAUCUGAACACUCAUCUUGCCUCUGUCCUGUUCGUGAGCUGUGCAGACGCUGAUGGAGCCGGCUGCUGGUGAGUGGCAAUUAUGCCUCACAUUUACACAGGCAUUGACAGUUUCUAAUCAGGAUUUUUACAACUCACGCGGAGAAUAUUGCCCUUCCGAAUUUUCGAUGGGGAAACAAGCCCAGGCAAGUUAAUGGGUGCCGUUUUCACACAGACCCUGAGAGACCCGGGCCAGCCAAAGACCUGGCCAGUUUGUUAAAGGUGGAUGUGUUUGCUAGAGGUGCACCAAGGUUGGCCUGUUUAGCUCACUAAGCUACCCCCAGGCCCGGCUGGCCUUGGCCCUUGGCCAGGCUUCCCGGGAAACCCACCGCGCCGGGUUUCUGGUCUCAAUUCGUUUGAUGGUAAGUGCGCUCUGCCGGAGCUCGGUGGCCCCGGUGCCCAGGGCAAGGGAGCUUAGGGCUCGCCGGAGUGCCGCGGAAGAGCGCCGAAGAUUCCAGGGCUGUGACAGCCCACGCCCAGCUGGGUCCCCAAAGCCUGGCGGGCCUGCGUCCUCACGACAGCCACAACAGGCAAAUGCGCGAUCCUUUCACCCCAGCCGCAAGCCCAUGAGCCCUGAGUUGUGCCAGAGCAGGAACAGUAACGAACGAAUUCUGCUGUCUCAAAUCCAGAAUGGCCCUGCAAACCCUUGAGCCCACCAUGCCCAAUUUACAGAAGUGAUUAGUCGGAGGCAAGAAAGGUACAGUAAGUUGCCCCAGAUUCAACAGCCGAGAAGUGGCCGGGGUCGGGGCGGAAAUCCCCAGUUAGCCGAGUCUAGAUCCUAAUGAGCGGUUCCUCUGCUUCCAACCGGGAUCGCCAGGUCCCUCCUUGCGCCAAGUCUCCUGCGCGCGGUUCGGAGUCGCCCGGCUCUUAGCCUCUGACUUCCCUCACCAAGGACGCAAAAACUAUUCUAG
rnacentral:lncRNA from 1 species